rnacentral:vault_RNA from 1 species
AUAAAGGCUUAGCCAUGUGGUUACAUCGUUAUACUGAACUCUCAUCGAAUUCUUCCUACCUUGAUACCACUGGCACUGUCUCACACUUUU